UGUCUGGCGGCGAUAGCGCGGUGGUCCCACCUGACCCCAUGCCGAACUCAGAAGUGAAACGCCGUAGCGCCGAUGGUAGUGUGGGGUCUCCCCAUGUGAGAGUAGGGAACUGCCAGACUUU
rnacentral:rRNA from 1 species